UACGUAGGGGGCUAGCGUUGUUCGGAAUCACUGGGCGUAAAGGGCGCGUAGGCGGCUUUUCAAGUCGGGGGUGAAAGCCUGUGGCUCAACCACAGAAUUGCCUUCGAUACUGUUAGGCUUGAGACCGGAAGAGGUGAGUGGAACUGCGAGUGUAGAGGUGAAAUUCGUAGAUAUUCGCAAGAACACCAGUGGCGAAGGCGGCUCACUGGUCCGGUUCUGACGCUGAGGCGCGAAAGCGUGGGGAGCAAACAGG
rnacentral:rRNA from 1 species